UACGUAGGUCCCGAGCGUUGUCCGGAUUUAUUGGGCGUAAAGCGAGCGCAGGUGGUUUAAUAAGUCUGAUGUAAAAGGCAGUGGCUCAACCAUUGUGUGCAUUGGAAACUGUUAGACUUGAGUGCAGUAGAGGAGAGUGGAAUUCCAUGUGUAGCGGUGAAAUGCGUAGAUAUAUGGAGGAACACCGGUGGCGAAAGCGGCUCUCUGGACUGUAACUGACACUGAGGCGCGAAAGUGUGGGGAGCAAACAGG
rnacentral:rRNA from 1 species